rnacentral:rRNA from 1 species
CCUACGGGUGGCUGCAGUGAGGAAUAUUGGUCAAUGGGCGCGAGCCUGAACCAGCCAAGUAGCGUGAAGGAUGACUGCCCUACGGGUUGUAAACUUCUUUUAUAAAGGAAUAAAGUGAGGCACGUGUGCCUUUUUGUAUGUACUUUAUGAAUACGGAUCGGCUAACUCCGUGCCAGCAGCCGCGGUAAUACGGAGGAUCCGAGCGUUAUCCGGAUUCAGUGGGUUUAAAGGGAGCGUAGAUGGGUUGGUAAGUCAGUUGUGAAAGUUUGCGGCUCAACCGUAAAAUUGCAAUUGAUACUGGCAGUCUUGAGUACAGUUGAGGUAGGCGGAAUUCGUGGUGUAGCAGUGAAAUGCUUAGAUAGCGCGAAGAACUCCGAUUGCGAAGGCAGCUUACUAAACUGCCACUGACAUUGAUGCUCGAAAGUGUGGGUAUCAAACGGGAUUAGAUACCCUAGUAGUC